rnacentral:rRNA from 1 species
AAGGCCUUCGGGUUGUAAAGUUCUUUCGGUGGGAACGAAACGGGCGCGGUUAAUACCUGCGCUUAAUGACGGUACUCACAGAAGAAGCACCGGCUAACUACGUGC